rnacentral:rRNA from 1 species
AAAUUGAAGAGUUUGAUCAUGGCUCAGAUUGAACGCUGGCGGCAGGCCUAACACAUGCAAGUCGAACGGUAACAGGAAGCAGCUUGCUGCUUUGCUGACGAGUGGCGGACGGGUGAGUAAUGUCUGGGAAACUGCCUGAUGGAGGGGGAUAACUACUGGAAACGGUGGCUAAUACCGCAUAACGUCGCAAGACCAAAGAGGGGGACCUUCGGGCCUCUUGCCAUCAGAUGUGCCCAGAUGGGAUUAGCUUGUUGGUGAGGUAACGGCUCACCAAGGCGACGAUCCCUAGCUGGUCUGAGAGGAUGACCAGCCACACUGGAACUGAGACACGGUCCAGACUCCUACGGGAGGCAGCAGUGGGGAAUAUUGCACAAUGGGCGCAAGCCUGAUGCAGCCAUGCCGCGUGUAUGAAGAAGGCCUUCGGGUUGUAAAGUACUUUCAGCGGGGAGGAAGGUGUUGUGGUUAAUAACCGCAGCAAUUGACGUUACCCGCAGAAGAAGCACCGGCUAACUCCGUGCCAGCAGCCGCGGUAAUACGGAGGGUGCAAGCGUUAAUCGGAAUUACUGGGCGUAAAGCGCACGCAGGCGGUCUGUCAAGUCGGAUGUGAAAUCCCCGGGCUCAACCUGGGAACUGCAUUCGAAACUGGCAGGCUUGAGUCUUGUAGAGGGGGGUAGAAUUCCAGGUGUAGCGGUGAAAUGCGUAGAGAUCUGGAGGAAUACCGGUGGCGAAGGCGGCCCCCUGGACAAAGACUGACGCUCAGGUGCGAAAGCGUGGGGAGCAAACAGGAUUAGAUACCCUGGUAGUCCACGCCGUAAACGAUGUCUACUUGGAGGUUGUGCCCUUGAGGCGUGGCUUCCGGAGCUAACGCGUUAAGUAGACCGCCUGGGGAGUACGGCCGCAAGGUUAAAACUCAAAUGAAUUGACGGGGGCCCGCACAAGCGGUGGAGCAUGUGGUUUAAUUCGAUGCAACGCGAAGAACCUUACCUGGUCUUGACAUCCACAGAAGAAUCCAGAGAUGGAUUUGUGCCUUCGGGAACUGUGAGACAGGUGCUGCAUGGCUGUCGUCAGCUCGUGUUGUGA